AUGAAUAAGUUCACAAGCGCGCACACGGCAUUAUAACGAACGACUCGUGAGAACAACUUUACCUCAGCGUCGCUUAGCAACCAUCAUUUCCGUGAAGUUAUUUUAAAUUUAACGUUAGAAGGACGAAAAUAAACGUGUCAACGCAAACAUUUCGCUGUAGGUACUUAUGGUACACAGAGCAAGAUAAAGCCUCGCAUGUUUCUCGCACGCGCACAGAAGAUGGCGGGGUGCUGACAGGUUCUGCUAAAGGCCUUGCGGGACUCAUCUUGCUCAAGCACUGUUUUGUGAUGGAUGAUGUUAAUCUCUCAUCAGCAGAGCUAUUUUCGUAUGGCAGAGGAGAACUUGAUCUCCCGGUUGAGUCUGGCCUCUCUCAAGGUUUUUUUCUCUACUCUUAUACACAUACAAAUCUAUAGCUGGACUGUACAGUGCGACAUGCAUGUCGUACAUGUUACAAAAAAAUCGGUCUGUGCGCAGAAUACAUUUAAUACUGUAGGACACAUGCGUUACAGAGUUGGAGAUGCAUUAGACAGAACUUUCAAUAAUACCAUGUGUCUUUAUACCAUACACUCUCUAUUUUUCCUCUUUUAUUAUCAUUUUUAUAAUUAUGAUGUAUGUAAAGCUGCUUUGCAACAAUGAAAAUUGUGAAAAGCACUAUAUAAAUAAAAUUGAAUGAAGUUAAACAGAAGAGCCAGACUGAUGUUUUCUCCGUAUCAUCUUAAAGUCUCAAAAUGUUAAAUAUCUAACCUUGAUCUAUUUUUAUAUGAAUACAGAGAUGUGUCGAACAUUAACAUACCCAAAAUUCAUGGAGAAAAAACCUGAACACAUCAAUGCAGACAGCUCCACAAAACAGUCUCAAUCUCCAUAUGCAUGAUUCCAACGGAGUCUAAAAACAUGCGCAUGGCCUCGAUUUCAAAGCACAAAAUCAUUUUCUACUCCAUCAUCACGGCAACACAG